rnacentral:rRNA from 1 species
GACGAACGCUGGCGGUGUGCUUAACACAUGCAAGUCGAACGGUAAGGCCCUUUCGGGGGUACACGAGUGGCGAACGGGUGAGUAACACGUGAGUAACCUGCCCUCAUCUCUGGGAUAACAGUCGGAAACGGUUGCUAAUACUGGAUAUGAGCUUGCAAGGCAUCUUGUGGGUUGGAAAGAUUUUUUUGGUUGGGGAUGGACUCGCGGCCUAUCAGCUUGUUGGUGAGGUAGUGGCUCACCAAGGCUUCGACGGGUAGCCGGCCUGAGAGGGCGACCGGCCACAUUGGGACUGAGAUACGGCCCAAACUCCUACGGGAGGCAGCAGUGGGGAAUAUUGCACAAGGGACGGAAGUCUGAUGCAGCAACGCCGCGUGCGGGGUGACGGCCUUCGGGUUGUAAACCGCUUUCAAUUGUGACGAAGCUUUUUGUGACGGUAGCAGUAGAAGAAGCACCGGCUAACUACGUG